GGCUGCACGGGGCUAUGGCUUUAGCUCCCACGCAGCCUCUCCCGGCAAGGAGAGGCUGCAUGGGGCUAAAGGGGAAGGCAAACAGCGAGCGGGAUCCAUCCCGCUCGCUGCCUUGCCUUCUUCCAUAGCUGCGCGCAACCCCUCCGCAAGGAGAGGCUGCACGGGCUAUGGAGCUUUAGCCCCACGCAGCC